UUUUACCAAACUUUCAACCUCUUUCCAUACCCAUACGUGGGACUAAAUCUUAGCCAUUCAUCUCAAGACCUCAUCUCCACCAUCCAUCUUUCUAAAAAAACCUCUAUUUUCCCCCAUUUCUGACACCCCACUUACCCUUUUUCUCUCUCUAUUUCUUUUCUUUUCUUCAUUUCCCUUAUAUCCUCUCACUCCAUUUACAACCCACAUCAUCUCCCCGUUUCUUUCCUCUCUUCUGCCAUUAAAAUCCUCAUCACUGCACGCAAGCCCGACGAUCCUAACGACCCCCACCAUGCAUCCUAAGGUCUUUGUUGCUCGCGACGUCAACAACCAGUAGAUCUGAUGACCCUCAGUCUUCCUAUUGCACCCACACACCUCCAUUCCCUACAAUGUUGCCUUCCUCAUUACACCUCCAUGGCGCGGCUAAUAACCUCAUUUUUCUUUCCUCUCGUUGCCAUCAAGUCACUGCACCAUUCAUUCUUCACACGUCUUCCAGGAAUGGGCUUGUAGACUUUUGCUAUAUUUUUGCCACCUUGCAGAGGGAGACACGUGGACAGGAGGUGAACUAUGAGUGAGGUGGUGAUUUUCCAGCAGGAGAGGGGAUUUUGUGUGAGGGGUUAGAGAGAGUUGGACGCAAGAGUGACACGUAGGAGGGUGAUAAAAGGAAGAUAAUCUGGGGUUUUUGGAAAGAUGUGGAGGAGGCUUGGACGGCAAGAAAGGAAGCAAGGAGAGGGAGAGCAAGAAAAGGAAAGAGAAGAGGAAAGGGAGAGCCGAAGGAAGGGAAGAUGAGCAAGCUUUGCUUGAGAAGCCCAGUUUCCAUGAAGCUUAAAGCAUGCCCAGUUAAUGUUCCCAAGGACAUGCAGCAGCUUCUGCUUCUAACCCACAGAAGGCAGCAUUUGUUUUGUAAAAACUAAUAGACUCAAGAGGGGCUUGCAGAGUAUGGGAUCAUCUGAUUAUCCAAUGGGCGAAAUUAUAAGUGGAGAAGAUCCUAGGGAGGUGGAUGAAGUAGCAGCAAGAGAGUGUGAACAUGCACUUUUGCAGAAUACAAUGGACAAAGAGUUGAAUGCAACUACUGUUCUGACAGAGUUCAGUGAUGAAAACAGAUCUGUAUGGUACCCAGACUGGAGGAAGAAAGUAGCUUUUGCCUUGUAAACAUUGCCUGGGAAAGUCUUUUGAUAUUGGUAGGCUUAGCUAUGACUGUUCAGUGAGCAGAAAUUUUAAGAGAGUAGUAUUCUAAGGCUGACAAUCAUUAUAUUCUAUUUUGGGAACUCAUUACUCGUUAUGGGCAA